rnacentral:tRNA from 1 species
UCCCUGGUGGCUCAGAUGGUAAAGAAUCUGCUUGCAAUGCAGGAGACCCAGGUUUGAUCCCUGGGUUGGGAA